UGGGGAAUAUUGCACAAUGGGCGCAAGCCUGAUGCAGCCAUGCCGCGUGUGUGAAGAAGGCCUUCGGGUUGUAAAGCACUUUCAGCGAGGAGGAAGGUGGUGAGCUUAAUACGCUCAUCAAUUGACGUUACUCGCAGAAGAAGCACCGGCUAACUCCGUGCCAGCAGCCGCGGUAAUACGGAGGGUGCAAGCGUUAAUCGGAAUUACUGGGCGUAAAGCGCACGCAGGCGGUUUGUUAAGUCAGAUGUGAAAUCCCCGGGCUCAACCUGGGAACUGCAUUUGAAACUGGCAAGCUAGAGUCUCGUAGAGGGGGGUAGAAUUCCAGGUGUAGCGGUGAAAUGCGUAGAGAUCUGGAGGAAUACCGGUGGCGAAGGCGGCCCCCUGGACGAAGACUGACGCUCAGGUGCGAAAGCGUGGGGCAGCAAACAGGAUUAGAUACCCUGGUAGUCCACGCUGUAAAACGAUGUCGAUUUUGGAGGUUGUGCCCCUUGAGGCGUGGCUUCAGGAGCUAACGCGUUAAAUCGACCGCCUGGGGAGUACGGCCGCAAGGUU
rnacentral:rRNA from 1 species